rnacentral:rRNA from 1 species
AGUGAACGCUGGCGGUAGGCCUAACACAUGCAAGUCGAACGGCAGCACAGUAAGAGCUUGCUCUUACGGGUGGCGAGUGGCGGACGGGUGAGGAAUACAUCGGAAUCUACUUUUUCGUGGGGGAUAACGUAGGGAAACUUACGCUAAUACCGCAUACGACCUACGGGUGAAAGCAGGGGAUCUUCGGACCUUGCGCGAUUGAAUGAGCGGAUGUCGGAUUAGCUGGUUGGCGGGGUAAAGGCCCACCAAGGCGACGAUCCGUAGCUGGUCUGAGAGGAUGGUCAGCCACACUGGAACUGAGACACGGUCCAGACUCCUACGGGAGGCAGCAGUGGGGAAUAUUGGACAAUGGGCGCAAGCCUGAUCCAGCCAUACCGCGUGGGUGAAGAAGGCCUUCGGGUUGUAAAGCCCUUUUGUUGGGAAAGAACAGCAGCAGGUUAAUACCCCGCUGUUCUGACGGUACCCAAAGAAUAAGCACCGGCUAACUUCGUG